rnacentral:rRNA from 1 species
UCGGUUAAUACCCGGUCAGGAAAGACAUCWCUCAACAGAAGAAGCACCGGCUAACUCCGUGCCASCAGCCGCGGUAAUACGGAGGGUGCAAGCGUUAAUCGGAAUUACUGGGCGUAAAGCGCGCGUAGGUGGCUUGAUAAGCCGGUUGUGAAAGCCCCKGGCUCAACCUGGGAACGGCAUCCGGAACUAUUAGGCUAGAGUGCAGGAGAGGAAGGUAGAAUUCCCGGUGUAGCGGUGAAAUGCGUAUAGAUCGGGAGGAAUACCAGUGGCGAAGGCGGCCUUCUGGACUGACACUGACACUGAGGUGCGAAAGCGUGGGUAGCAAACAGGAUUASAUACCCUGGUAGUCCACGCCGUAAACGAUGUCAACCAGCCGUUGGGUGCCUAGCGCACUUUGUGGCGAAGUUAACGCGAUAAGUCGACCGCCUGGGGAGUACGGCCGCAAGGUUAAAACUCAAAUGAAUUGACGG